rnacentral:rRNA from 1 species
AUGAACGCUGGCGGCGUGCCUAAUACAUGCCAGUCGAGCGAACAGACGAGGAGCUUGCUCCUCUGACGUUAGCGGCGGACGGGUGAGUAACACGUGGAUAACCUACCUAUAAGACUGGGAUAACUUCGGGAAACCGGAGCUAAUACCGGAUAAUAUAUUGAACCGCAUGGUUCAAUAGUGAAAGACGGUUUUGCUGUCACUUAUAGAUGGAUCCGCGCCGCAUUAGCUAGUUGGUAAGGUAACGGCUUACCAAGGCGACGAUGCGUAGCCGACCUGAGAGGGUGAUCAGCCACACUGGAACUGAGACACGGUCCAGACUCCUACGGGAGGCAGCAGUAGGGAAUCUUCCGCAAUGGGCGAAAGCUUGACGGAGCAACGCCGCGUGAGUGAUGAAGGUCUUCGGAUCGUAAAACUCUGUUAUUAGGGAAGAACAAAUGUGUAAGUAACUAUGCACGUCUUGACGGUACCUAAUCAGAAAGCCACGGCUAACUACGUG